GAUGAACGCUGGCGGCGUGCCUAAUACAUGCAAGUCGAGCGAACGGACGAGAAGCUUGCUUCUCUGAAGUUAGCGGCGGACGGGUGAGUAACACGUGGAUAACCUACCUAUAAGACUGGGAUAACUUCGGGAAACCGUAGCUAAUACCGGAUAAUAUUUUGAACCGCAUGGUUCAAAAGUGAAAGACGGUCUUGCUGUCACUUAUAGAUGGAUCCGCGCUGCAUUAGCUAGUUGGUAAGGUAACGGCUUACCAAGGCAACGAUGCAUAGCCGACCUGAGAGGGUGAUCGGCCACCCUGGAACUGAGACACGGUCCAGGCUCCUACGGGAGGCAGCAGUAGGGAAUCUUCCGCAAUGGGCGAAAGCCUGACGGAGCAACGCCGCGUGAGUGAUGAAGGUCUUCGGAUCGUAAAACUCUGUUAUUAGGGAAGAACAUAUGUGUAAGUAACUGUGCACAUCUUGACGGUACCUAAUCAGAAAGCCACGGCUAACUACGUG
rnacentral:rRNA from 1 species